rnacentral:misc_RNA from 1 species
UCUCCGUAGGUGAACCUGCGGAGGGAUCAUUACUGAGUGAGGGCCUUCGGGCUCGACCUCCAACCCCUUUGUUGUACCGACCCUGUUGCCUCGGGGGCGACCCUGCCGUUUCGACGGCGAGCGCCCCCGGAGGCCUUCAAACACUGCAUCUUUGCGUCGGAGUUUAAGUAAAUUAAACAAAACUUUCAACAACGGAUCUCUUGGUUCUGGCAUCGAUGAAGAACGCAGC